GACGGUGCCAACGAGUCAGACCUCCUGGCCCGAAAGGGUUGGGCAAACUGGUCAAUCACCGUCAUGACAGGGAUCGGGGCUUGGAAUUGUUCCCCGUGAACGAGGAAUUCCUAGUAAGUGCAAGUCAUAAGCUUGCGCUGAUUACGUCCCUGCCCUUUGUACACACCGCCCGUCGCUACUACCGAUUGAAUGGUUUAGUAAGGUCCUUGGAUCGGGCCCUUUGUGGCGAUGCUGAAAGGCACUCGUCCAGCAGGCGCUGAGAAGACGACCAAAC
rnacentral:rRNA from 1 species